CACCUUCUGAAGCAUUAUCGAGUAAGACAUGUGCAUUAUGGAAAAAACAGUCGUAUUCCAUGUGUUCAUGAAAGCUGUCCAUGCACUUUUAGAACGUGGAAUGCACUAUUAAUUCAUUUGAAUAGAUGCCAUGUUAUUAAAACUAGUCACCAUCAUUCAGAGAGAUGUACUUAUAGCUGCCACUUGUGUCCCUGUAAGGAUCUUGUGUCUGAAAGAGAUUACUGGACUCAUAUUAAUGCACACUUGAAAAAAAACGAGGUUGUAACUUGUAUGUUUUUGCAUUGCGACUUUGAAUCAAAUAUCUUAGGAUCUUUUAAAUCCCACAAGAGCAGGAAACACAGACUUUACUCAUCCAAAGAUUUUAAACCAGGAAUAGUAAUAUCAGCAACUGUUGCUGCCCUAGAUUCUGCUUCCAGUGCUUCUGAUGAUGACAUUGAGGAUGCUCAACCAAGUAGCAGUGCUGAUGGUCUAAGUGACCUACCAGAUGUUAUUCAGCACAGUUUGGCAGCAGCUUUGUUAAAAUUAGAACAUUUUUCUUGUGUGCCAAGCAAAGCAAUCAAUGAGUUUUUGGUAGAACUUCACUACUUAACUGACUGUCUCUCAAAAUCUCAUGUAGAAAGUGUUAUAGUGAAUACUUUUCAGAAGCACAAUGUCCAAGUAGACAGAGUUGUUAUUGAGGAAAUAAUCUCUUUGUGCUCAGCAAAUCCUUUGAAUAAGGCCAUAGAGAAGGGUGGGCCUUUGAGUACUGCAUACCAACGUAAGCAAUAUUACAAAUCAAAAUUUAAUGUUGUUGAACCGGUAGAAUAUAUAUUGGAUGCAAAAGAGAACAAAACAUUACAGUAUGUUUCCAUCCUAGAAUCUUUGCAAGUGCUGCUGAGUAGGAAGGAUAUUGUGGAUAAGGUAAUUGGUAAUCACAACACACAAAGGGAAAAAGGGACUGGAAAAGAAAUUUUGUACAGGUCAUAUAAGGACGGUCUGCAUUGUAAGGAAAAUUGUUUGUUGUCUGGGGAAGACCUAAGUUUAUCAAUUACUUUGUAUGCUGAUGACUUUGAAGUCUGUAAUCCUCUGGGAACCUCCCGCAAAACCCACAAACUUUGCGCUGUCUACUGGGUACUAAAUAACUUACCUCCAGGGUCUCAUUCUAGUUUGUGCUCGAUUUUUCUGGCCAUUUUGUGCAAAACAAACAAUGUAAAGUUAUUUGGCUAUAACAAGAUUUUAGAGCCUCUAAUACGUGACCUGAGAUCUUUAGAGGUUGAUGGCAUUUUUGUUCCACAACUGCACAAAUCGCUUAAGGGUACAGUCCAGACUAUUGUUGCAGACAAUUUAGGAGCACAUGGAAUAGCAGGCUUUGUGGAGAAUUUUACAGGCCCCUUCUUUUGUCGUUUUUGUACAGCACCAGCUUCAGACAUUCAGUCACAUGAGGUUAGGUCAGGAGCUUUCAGCCUCAGAAGGAAAGAAACACAUGAAACCCAUGUCAGAGCAGCCCUAGAUGGUGGCAGUAGUGUUUUUGGAGUUAAAAGAGCCUGUCCAUUUACUCAAGCACUUUCUCAUUUUCAUGUGGUCAGUGGCUAUCCUCCUGACAUUUCUCAUGAUCUUCUUGAAGGUGUUGUGCCUGUUGAAAUAGCAUGUUGCCUGACGUCACUGAUAUCAAAGGAGUAUAUCACCUUGGAAGAAAUAAAUGGUUCCAUUCUCCAUUUCCCUUACAAGUGGACAGACAAAACCAAUAAACCUCAUACUUUGCCACAAACACUUUCAAGAAGGAAAACAAUCGGAGGCAAUGCCCAUGAAAAUUGGUGCUUGUUAAGAUUGCUACCAUUUCUUAUUGGCCCCAAGAUUCCUGAACAUGAGCCAAUAUGGCAGGUCUUGUUGGAUCUAAAACAGAUUGUGGAGUUAGUGGUUGCCCCAGUUCACAGUGAUGAAUCUAUAGCCUACCUUGAGAGCAAAAUUUCGGAUCAUCGGCAAAGGUAUCAAGAGGCGUUUCCUAACAACACUUUACUGCCUAAACACCACUACAUAGAGCAUUACCCGCGACUAAUACAACUAUUUGGGCCUCUUGCGGGCCUUUGGACCAUCAGGUUUGAGGCAAAGCACAGUUUCUUUAAAAAAGUUAUGAAACACACCAGUUGCUUUAAAAAUGUCCCUUUGUCUCUGGCUGUUAAACAUCAGAUUAUGAUUGGCUACCAUUUGUCUUCUCCAAAUAUUGAUAAACCAGUUCUGGAUGUGUCGCAUGCAUCCACUGUCCCAUUAGAUGUUUUGAAGGAAAAUCUGGCUCAAGCAUUUAAACAAAUAAAUCCCAGUGUAUCUGAAAUAAACAUCGCAAAAAAUGUAUGGAGCAAAGGAAUAAACUACAGACCAGGAAUGAUAGUGGCAUAUGGUUCUGAGGGUGGCUUGCCUGAGUUUGGGGAAAUCCAUCAAAUAUGCAUUUUGCAGCAAAGACUAUUUUUUGUGUUGAAACUUCUGUGUGGGUGGUAUUGUGAGCAUUAUGGAGCCUUUCAGCUGACUCCAUCUACGGCACGAGAACAUGAUCUUGUGGAAGUCUCUGACCUGGUUGAUGAGUAUCCACUGGCUGCCUAUGUAGUUGGGGGUAUACGGAUGGUGACCUUGAAGAGAUCAAUCUGUAUCUGUAGACAGUGAAGUGAGACCAUGACAAAUCAGGCUGUUCUCAGAGUUAUCCUUGGACCCGACAACAGUCAGAGGGUUGUGAUUUCUGCUGGCCUGCCUUCAUCUGUGGCUGCAUUGGAGGCUGAGAUACAGACUCAAUGUAAAAUAAUGACGCCCUUUCGACUGCAGUUUAUGGACCCACUUUUUGGAAACGACUUUGUGAACUUGACUUCAAUAGAGGAAAUACAAGACAAAGCGACACUCAAAGUUGUGUACACAGUCAUCCAACCUCAGGAUCAAGAUGAAGAUAGUUUUUCCUUUCCAUCAACCAGUGCUCCUGAUGUCGCCUCAUCUAGUUCUGGUGACAGCACUGUUAUUCUUUCAUCUCCAGAGUCUACCUCAUCACGGUCAUCAUGGCCAGAUUUGUUCCUUGUUCCUCGGUUUACAUAUGAUGCAGAAAUUAAGUUGGAGAAGGCCCAUGUAGCUUUCAAAGAAAAUGGGAUGCUGCUGAUUCCUGAUCCAAAGCUGAAGUCUGACAUAUUGGAAGGGUUGAUCCAGGAGGUAGUCAAACACACAGUAUAUCCCACAGACAGAAAGUUUGACCAAGUUGCAGAGGCACUCAUCCUGAGGCAUCCAUGUUUAAAAGAAAAGGGCUCACCCAGUGGCUAUGCAGGAUGGAAGAUGAGCCUCAAAUACAAAUUGUCAAACUACCGCACACAUCUCAGGAAAGUAGGAUGUCCUGAGGUAUGUGUGAAUGCUUUGAAACAUAAACCAGCAGAGAAAUGUUCUCCUGCUUAUGAUGUUAAGAGACCAAAGAGGGGUGAAGUGGAUUACUGUCCCCCUUUUCCACUUGGAGAAAGUGAACAGUCCCUUGAGACAAUAAGGAUCGAACUUCUUUCAGAUGUCAAGAAGCGCAACAACAGAGAUGCAAUAAAGGAUAAAAUGAACAAAACCUUUUCAUUAAGAAGACAAGAAGUAAUUUAUGAUGCUCCCAUGAUCAGCGAGCUACAAGAGAGAUGGCCAGCUCUUUUUGAUCCAGCAGAGAUAAACGCAGAGUUCAAGCGCAUUACAACCAUGCCUCUACAGUCAAGGUUUCUGUCGCAGCUUGACUUUCUGUCUGAAAGUCUGCUGAGAGUGUUUUCAAAGCGAUCAGGGAAGCAGGGCAAAAUGUUGAAAGACAUGACAGACAGGAUGAUGGAUGACGUGGAUGCUAGAAGGGAGUCCCUAAUUAAAGGACUUUGCCUCUAUUUGAAUGAGAAUCCUGACAUCUUGGUGCAUGAGUACAUGGACAUGACUGACGUCUCCACUCUAAGUGCCAUUGAGAAAACAACAGCGGGAGUCUAUGUUGCCAAGGAGACACCAGGCAAGGACUUUCCUGAUGUUGGCAUCAUCAUCGAAGGUGUGGUGAUACUUCAGGACCUGGAUAAUGUGGCCCUUGCAACAGCCAUGCUGUUUGGACUUUUUACUGCUUCAACAUGAGUUACCCGGCACAGCUCCGCUACACUUUUGAGGUGAUUCAAAAGGUGGUCAUGGAAUUGGAUCCGACUGAACUCUCGAGAAAAGCCCAAAACUUAAAGACAAAACUUCAAUAAGGAAAGAUCAUUGUUGUGCAGGUCACAUGUUUAACUAAAGGUAAGAGGACAGUUAUAGUUCACAUACGCCCUCUUGCAUUUUGGACAUUCAAUUUCUAGGUGAAUGAUCAGCAACCCAAAAACCAUCACAUUGUUCAGUGUAGUGUUUAUUAUGUGGGAUGGUUAUAACUGUUUAUCUGCCAUGGAAAAGUAGUGCCAGUUUUUUCUGUUUGAUUGGCAUUGUAUUUCAAUUUAGUUUUUCCAAGUGACAAAAGGAUGAUUGUACACAAUCUGAAAAGGUUUUAGUUUUAAAAAAAAAGUUUUAAUACUUCUAAGGCUAUUUUGAAUCAAGAUGUCACAAUACCAGUGUUGAAAUUUUGGACACUUGCUGUAUUUUUGACUGUUUUUUGUACUGUGGCUUUUGAAAUAAAGCUUUGACAUGCAACUGUUAA